CUGGGACAGAAGGAGAAGCAGGAAGGUCUAGGAGAGGGAAACGACUCCUUGGGCUGGGAACCUUGUCCUUAGGGACCCCGGCUACAGAGUGAGGAUGGAGCAGCCCCUAAGAGCCUCAUUACUUAUCCUAUGGUUCCAGCUGGUCUGGGUGAGCGGCCAGGACAAGGUGGAGCAGAUUCCUUUGUCCCUGAAGAUCCGGGAGGGAGAGAACGGCACUAUGAUCUGCAACUACACAAUCAGGAAUUUUUAUAGUUUGCAGUGGUACCGUCAGUAUGCUGGGAAAGGCCUUGAAUUCCUGUUGCUCCUAAGCUCAAGUGGUAAUAAGAAGCAGGUUGGAAGACUGGCAGCCGACCUCAAUAUUGAAGAAAGGAUCAGCUCCCUGCUCAUCAGGGACUCCCAGGCUGAAGACUCAGCCACCUACCUUUGUGCUGGGGAGACACAGUGAUCCCCAGACACCUGCAGCCCGUGCAGAAACCCUGUAGCUGGGGCUCCUGCUCACUCAUUGUCUCACCCUUCCUCAACCCUUUGCACAAACAGUCAG